rnacentral:antisense_RNA from 1 species
CACCGACAUCAGGGAUUCAUUCUGUGAGCCCUGGCCGACGGCAAGAUAGGCAUUCAUCCCCAGCUCUUUCAUCUGCUGUUCGCCGAUUACCCUGGUGGUGAUGUUUUUACUCCAGGUAUCCGCCAGCUGACGCGCCUGCGAAGCCAGAUAGGCCGCAUUACAAAUGUUGGGUGGCAUGUUGCCAAGAUCUUUCGC